AUGACUUUGAUCUGCGUCCUCAUCUGGACUCUCCUCCUCUGCUGCUGCUUCACAGAGUCCAGAGGACAGGUCACAGUGACUCAGUCUGCAGCAGUGAGAUCUGCUCUGGGAGCCUCUGUCACUGUCUCAUGUAGGACCAGUGAGGAUGUAGAUACUACGGACGACGAUGAACCCUUUUUAGCCUGGUACCAACAGAAAGAUGGAGGAACUCCUAAACUGCUGAUUUACUUGGGUAGCACUCGAGUAUCGGGGACUUCAAGUCGUUUUACAGGCAGUGGAUCAAACUCUGACUUCACUCUGACCAUCAGUGGAGUCCAGACUGAAGACGCAGCAGUUUACUACUGUCAGAGUGUACAUAUCAUCAACAGUGAGUUGGUGUUCACACAGUGAAAAAGCGUCGUACAAAAACCUCCCUCAGUCAGCCUGAACAGAAACCAGACUGACUGCUGCAGCAGGAAGCUUCUGCAGAGACUGACACACUUCACUGAGGACACACACUCAAACACUACACUGACUGGUUUCCAUCACCUCUUCCCUGUAAUACAAAAACUACACAAUCAGUUAUUCAAUAUCAUAUAUUUCCACUAUACAGUACUUAGCAUUUCAAAAUGAACCCUUGGCAUAUGUCAGAUAUUUAUGAAAAGAUUUUUAGUGUUGUCCUCGUUCUCUUCUCAAAGGUGACUUCCAGAGAGUGUGG